AUUGAACGCUGGCGGCAUGCCUUACACAUGCAAGUUGAACGGUAACGCGGGGCAACCUGGCGACGAGUGGCGAACGGGUGAGUAAUGCAUCGGAACGUACCCAGUAGUGGGGGAUAGCCCGGCGAAAGCCGGAUUAAUACCGCAUACGACCUACGGGUGAAAGGGGGGAGUCGCAAGACCUCUCGCUAUUGGAGCGGCCGAUGUCAGAUUAGGUAGUUGGUGGGGUAAAGGACCUACCAAGCCUGUGAUCUGUAGCUGGUCUGAGAGGACGACCAGCCACACUGGGACGUGAGACACGGCCCA
rnacentral:rRNA from 1 species